GACGAACGCUGGCGGCGUGCUUAACACAUGCCAGUCGAACGGAAAGGCCCUGCUUGCAGGGUGCUCGAGUGGCGAACGGGUGAGUAACACGUGGGUGAUCUGCCCCUUACUUUGGGAUAAGCCUGGGAAACUGGGUCUAAUACUGGAUAGGACCAUGCUGUAGGUGGUGUGGUGGAAAGAUUAGUUUCGGUAAGGGAUGAGCUCGCGGCCUAUCAGCUUGUUGGUGGGGUAAUGGCCUACCAAGGCGUCGACGGGUAGCCGGCCGGAGGGGGUGGACGGGACCAUUGGGGAUGAGAUCCGGCCCAGACUCCUGCGGGGGGCAGCAGUGGGGAAUAAUGCACAAUGGGCGCAAGCCUGAUGGAGCGACGGCGCGUGGGGGAUGACGGCAUUCGGGUUGUAAACUCCUUUCAGCCAUGACGAAGCCCUUGUGGUGACGGUAGUGGUAGAAGAAGCACCGGCUAACUACGUG
rnacentral:rRNA from 1 species